CCUUCUCGUCUCCGUUGGAGUCGUCUCUGCCGCGGCUUCCUCGGCUGCCAGCUCUCCGGCGAGCCGGAGUCCUAGUGCCGUACCGUCAGUCCCCGGCCGCGCGGAGCCGGGAUGCACUGUUCCUGCUGUGGGUCCUCAUCAUGGAGACCAAACGGGUGGAGAUUCCCGGCAGCGUCCUGGACGAUCUCUGCAGAGACAGGGUCUUGCACCAUUGCCCAGGCAUGAUCAUAGCUCACUGCAACUUCCAACUCCUGGACUCAAGCUAUCCACUUGGCUCAGCCUCCUGAGUAGCUAGGACUAUAGGCAUGUACCACCAUGCCCAGGAUAUGUGAGGAUUACUUCAUGAAAACAAGGAAGUGAAUUAAGGAGGAUGAAAACAAAAAGACAAGACACAUGACCUCUGUGGGAUAAAGGCACAGGGAACUAUAGGAUGCUUGUGAAAGGGCAGUGUAGAGUUGACAGAUGUGUACCAGGUGUAGAGGACAGCUGAUCCAGACUAGAACAGAUCAGAAGACUAGAAGUCUUAAAGAUGAAACUGAUGAAUCUGAAUUGUGGGGAAAAAAAAUCCAAAAUGAAACUGAUGGAUCUGAAAAGAAAAUUCACAAUGGAGAUGAUUAUGUCAGAAUAUCCAAAAAGGAGCCAGGAGGGCAUAAGGAGUUGGAUCCUGGUCACAUACACAUCUAGAUGGAGUUUCACCUGCUGAACUGGGCCAAAGUGUAAAACUAGCUGCAUUUGACUUGAGUUGUAUAUACUGGGCCUGAUCAACCGCCUGGAGAGAUAACCAUACCCAACUAUAUUGAUCAUUGACUAGAGACAUCCUGAGCUGACAACCAGCCAUCAUUUAUCAUGGACUGUGCUAAAACCUUCCAGAUACGUAAAUUUACAGUAGCCCUUAAAAGCUCUGCCUAACCUUGCCUGAAUGCAACAUGAUUUAGCUGCUUGCUAGACUUGUGUCUCCCAAAUUGCAAUCUCUAAAAACCUGAUUAAAAUGCCUUUUGCUA
rnacentral:lncRNA from 10 species